UCUGUAAGACCAGGAGGAAUUCGGUCUUCCAGCAGGGGAUGAAGAACAAGAUCUUGAUAUUUGGCCUCUUUGAAGAGACAGCCCUGGCUGCUUUCCUUUCCUACUGCCCUGGAAUGGGCUGGGUGGAGAAGGAAACCUACUAUUAGCCCCCCGUCCUGCACGCCGUGGAGCAUCAGGCCACACACUCUGCAUCCGACACCCACCCCCUCUUUGUGUACUUCAGUCUUGGAGUUUGGAACUCUACCCUGGUAGGAAAGCACCGCAGCAUGUGGGGAAGCAAGACGUCCUGGAAUGAAGCAUGUAGCUCUAUGGGGGGAGGGGGGAGGGCUGCCUGAAAACCAUCCAUCUGUGGAAAUGACAGCGGGGAAGGUUUUUAUGUGCCUUUUUGUUUUUGUAAAAAAGGAACACCCGGAAAGACUGAAAGAAUACAUUUUAUAUCUGGAUUUUUACAAAUAAAGAUGGCUAUUAUAAUG
rnacentral:lncRNA from 1 species